ACAUUGUUUCCUUUCGUGUUAAUACUGUCUGUUCGGUGUGCCACGAAAGGAGUUGAAAAGCAAAUUUGAUCUGAAAGUUCUUUAGAUAUAUUCGCCAUUAUGAGUGAUAAACCUGAUGUAUCAGAAGUGACCAAGUUUGACAAAUCCAAGUUAAAGAAAACAGAAACGGCUGAGAAGAAUCCUUUACCUACGAAAGAAACAAUUGAACAAGAAAAGUCUGGUUAAUGGAAAGAAUGGAGUUAUAAUCAAUGAACCUUAAAUAUUUUGUACUGCAUAUUUGAAAACUAUUAAUUACUACUUUUUUCUAAAAUCCAAUGAUAUCGAUAUAAAUUUUAGCAUUAUUGUUAUUGAAGUUCUUUCUUAGUUGUAUAUCUUUAAAAUCACCUUGGUUGCAUUAUUGGUUGAGAAAUAAAUGAAUACAUAAAA